rnacentral:misc_RNA from 1 species
UUUCCGUAGGUGAACCUGCGGAAGGAUCAUUAAAGUUAUAGUCCCCCGGCCCUCUGGGCUGGGGUCUUCUAUACCACCCUUUGUUUAUUACACCUUUGUUGCUUUGGCAGGCCUGCCCUCGGGCUGCUGGCUCCGGCCGGCUCGCCUCUGCCAGAGGACCUAAACUCUGUUUGUAUAUGGAGUCUGAGUACUAUAUAAUAGUUAAAACUUUCAACAACGGAUCUCUUGGUUCUG